AAGGUAGCGAAAUUCCUUGUCGGGUAAGUUCCGACCUGCACGAAUGGCGUAAUGAUGGCCAGGCUGUCUCCACCCGAGACUCAGUGAAAUUGAACUCGCUGUGAAGAUGCAGUGUACCCGCGGCAAGACGGAAAGACCCCGUGAACCUUUACUAUAGCUUUGCACUGGACUUUGAAUUUGCUUGUGUAGGAUAGGUGGGAGGCUUUGAAGCGUGGACGCCAGUCUGCGUGGAGCCGCCCUUGAAAUACCACCCUGGCAACUUUGAGGUUCUAACUCAGGUCCGUUAUCCGGAUCGAGGACAGUGUCUGGUGGGUAGUUUGACUGGGGCGGUCUCCUCCCAAAGAGUAACGGAGGAGCACGAAGGUGCGCUCAGACCGGUCGGAAAUCGGUCGUAGAGUAUAAAGGCAAAAGCGCGCUUGACUGCGAGACAGACACGUCGAGCAGGUGCGAAAGCAGGUCAUAGUGAUCCGGUGGUUCUGAAUGGAAGGGCCAUCGCUCAACGGAUAAAAGGUACUCCGGGGAUAACAGGCUGAUACCGCCCAAGAGUUCAUAUCGACGGCGGUGUUUGGCACCUCGAUGUCGGCUCAUCACAUCCUGGGGCUGAAGUAGGUCCCAAGGGUAUGGCUGUUCGCCAUUUAAAGUGGUACGCGAGCUGGGUUUAGAACGUCGUGAGACAGUUCGGUCCCUAUCUGCCGUGGACGUUUGAGAUUUGAGAGGGGCUGCUCCUAGUACGAGAGGACCGGAGUGGACGAACCUCUGGUGUUCCGGUUGUCACGCCAGUGGCAUUGCCGGGUAGCUAUGUUCGGAAAAGAUAACCGCUGAAAGCAUCUAAGCGGGAAACUUGCCCCGAGAUGAGUUCUCCCUGACCCUUUAAGGGUCCUGAAGGAACGUUGAAGACUACGACGUUGAUAGGUCGGGUGUGUAAGCGCAGCGAUGCGUUGAGCUAACCAAUACUAAUGAACCGUGAGGCUUAACCUUACAACGCCGAAGGUGUUU
rnacentral:rRNA from 1 species